UGUCGGAGCGCGUGUGGGGGUACGCGCUCUCGUACCGCGCACAGGACCGCUGCAAGCACUACCUGGUGGAGGCGGAGCGCGGCUACCGGCUGCUCGGCGCCGCCACCACCACCCACACCUCGCUCGCCGAUCUCAUAAAGUACCACAAGACGGUGGCAAUCACAGAGAGCGGAGGUGAGGUGCUCACCACUCCCUGCCCCCCGCAACACCCGCCCACCUUCUGAACCACGUCACGCUGAUGACGUCACUGAUGACGUCACAACGAUGCUGCAUACAAUGGGAACGCGCGCCGCAUUUUUAUACAAAAAUACGUAUUGCUUUAAACAAUAGGACAUACAGGAUGUCCCGGAAAGAAUGAAGUACCACAGAUUAUUUGGUUGCAAAACAUGAUUAUUUCGAUAUUCGUGUUUUUGAACCCCCUGUAGGUUUAUAACAAAGGUGUUUAUG